CCCUCCCUCUUCCAAGCGUUGGAUUGAAGGGAUUCUCCAGCGGCGGCAGCCUGUCCUCCUACCCCGGCCCCAGCGACUCCCUGGGGGCGGAUCUCUGCCUCUACAGCACUGGCGAUCAGACACCUGAGCCGGAGCCUCUCUCCCGCUACCGCUCGCAGCGUUUCCCGAGCCCGUGUGUGACCGCAGGUCCAGGAUGAGGAGGACAGAAGGUCCCAGAUGCUGCAUGAUUCCUGGCUCUGACUCUCCACAAACCUAGUAGAGUGGAGCAACUCCCCUCACCUUCACUUAUCUAUGGAUGCCACCACUAUGUCUUGGCAGGAGAAAGCUCCCUACUCAAUGGAAUCACAUGCAGAAGACAGCGGCCUACCCAGCAAGCUGCUUUCCUUCACUUCCCUACCUCAUUCAGAAUACUUUAACAACCUCUCUCGUCACCUACGUUCUGCAAUAUGGUCCUAAUCCAAGUCCAACUGAAGUAAAUGGAAAGAGUCCCACUGACUUUUGCGGACUUUGAAUCAGGCCAUAUGGCAGUAGACUAAGGGCCUAUCCACACAGAAAGUGUGUGACAAGCCAGGGUGUGAAUCUACAGGGUGCCACUCAUUAACUGGCUGUGUACACCUUGCUAGGCACAAAGUGCACUGUGGAACUUUUAGUGCACAGUAGCAGGAUCCACACAAUGACUCAGUGUGUGGCAGGCUGGCGUGAUGUAGGUUCACACCCUGGCAUGUUGUGCACUAACUCUCCAUGUAGGCAAGCCCUACCUAUGUAGCCAAGAAGAGAUGCUCAGAGUAGCAAGGAACACUUUUCACCUGGGACUUCUGGUACAGCAAGCAGGGAAUGGGGAAGAUGGGAGGUCUCUGGAGGAGGGAGGAGGAGCCAUAAAGGGAUAGGAAGAGAUAUGGUAAGGAAGAACUAGGGGAGUGAUUGGUGAGAGAGGCAACCUAGCCUCCUUGGAAGCAAUAUAUUUCUUAUGGCAUUAAACAGCAUCCUCCAACUAAGAGUAGAAAUGACCGAGAUGAGGGUAGCAGGGAUCACUCUGUUGUUGGGACUCAGUCAAUUAAUAAUCAAUCCGUAAAUAAAUUCCCAUACAAAGUAAAAUAUCUUCACCACUGUUAAUGAAAAUAUAGGUGAAAUUUUUCAAAGCUGGGGCCAAAUAUUGCAAAUACAGAUACCUAAACUUAGGCAUCCAAAUCCACUUUAAGGCUCUUAAAUAGCCCCCAGCAAUUUUCAGAUCAUCUGAGCACUGCAGCUCCUAUUAUCUUCAGUGGGAGUUGUGGCUGCCCAGCACUUCGGAAAUUCAGGCCAGUUUUAUAUAGGUACCUAAAUGUCUAUUUAGAUGUUUAACUUUAGACACCCAACUUUGAAAAUGUUUGCUUUACUAUAGGACGGAUACAGUAUUUUUACAUAGUUUAAGAGCGGCCCAGUAAAAAGCACUUUUUUGGUAGGAAAAUGUAUAAAAUUGUACUGUUAAUGGAACAGAUUCCUCAUUUUUAGUAUGUUCAAGAGAUUUUGUCAACAAAAGUAAUAUGUACAUUAAAAUGAAGAUUAAACUAAAAGGAUUUAAUGUACAUGUAAAUUUGUUCUUUCCUACCUUCAUUUUGAACAUCUAAAUUGAAAAUCAGCAUUUUCAAAGCUCUCACUAAUCUUUCAUUAUUAUGUUAAAGAAAUUUUCUCCCCACACUUUUUUUUGGGGGGGGCGGCAGAGCUUUAUAUUACGAAUCAUUAAAUCACCAAAAAUUAUGUCACUAAUAAU